UACGUAGGGUGCAAGCGUUGUCCGGAAUUAUUGGGCGUAAAGAGCUCGUAGGCGGUCAGUCGCGUCUGCUGUGAAAACUCGGGGCUUAACUCCGGGCCUGCAGUGGGUACGGGCUGACUAGAGUGCGGUAGGGGAGACUGGAAUUCCUGGUGUAGCGGUGAAAUGCGCAGAUAUCAGGAGGAACACCGGUGGCGAAGGCGGGUCUCUGGGCCGUAACUGACGCUGAGACGCGAAAGCGUGGGGAGCAAACAGG
rnacentral:rRNA from 1 species